UUCAAUGUUUGAGGAGAUGUUUCUAAGGAUUUUUGGAGGGAAAAGCAAUAUUACACAAGAAAACCACAUUUUCUCUUGUUUGUUAUCAAAAUAUCUAGAGAAGCCAUAUCCACCUGCCUUUUUGUGGCUAACAGGGGUCUGAGCCCAUAAACUGACUGAGGAACAAAUCUUGUCCGUCGGGGGAGAAAACCAGUCAGCUGGGGGUUAAGUGGAUGGGAGGGUGGAGACGCCUCAGGAAAAACCUGCCAGAGCUGUAAAGGGUCAGAGCUUCAAACGGGAGUGAAAAAGCAGGGGGAAGUUAGAACUGAGCUCUCUUGCUUUCAAAUUCAAAAAUUUUCAGAUUUGCUUCAAACGUAUACUUAAGAACUCUAGGGGCCAGCCCUGUGGCCCGGUGGCCGAGUGGUUAAGUUCACACGCUCCGCUUAGAUGGCCCACGGUUUUGCCAGUUUGGAUCCUGGGCACGGACCUAGCACCGCUCGUCAGGCCAUGCUGAGGUGGCGUCCCACAUAGCACAACUAGAAGGACCUACAACGAAGAUAUACAACUACAUACUGGGGCGCUUUGGGGAGAAAAAGAAGAAGAAAAAAGAGAUUGGCAACAGAUGUUAGCUCAUGGCCAAUCUUAAAAAAAAACACCUCUAAUAAUGCCGUAAAAAUCUCCAUCCUUGAAUUGGAAGCGCCUGUUCUUUCCAAAGUCGCUCCACGGGGCAGUAGUCCCUCCGACGCGUCUCCCUCUCGCUGGACAGUGGCGUGGCUCUGGAACACCUUCACCAUCCUUCCGGAAGCUCUCUGUGGAAGCCGUGCAGUCACCAGCUGAUGUAGAGCUUUGUCAUUUCAGGUAGUUCUGAAGAAGGAUGAUUUUCUUUGCUUAAGUUACGCAGGAAGAUUAGCCCUGAGCUAACAUCUGCCGCCCAUCCUCCUCUUUUUGCUGAGGAAGACUGGCCCUGAGCUGACAUCCAUGCCCAUCUUCCUCUACUUUAUAUGUGGGACGCCUGCCACAGCAUGGCUUGACAAGUGGUGCCACGUCUACACCUGGGAUCUGAACCGGCAAACCCCAGGCCACCGAAGCGGAACAUGCACACUUAACUGCUGCGGCACCGGACCAGCCC
rnacentral:lncRNA from 1 species